rnacentral:rRNA from 1 species
UUCGGGAACUCUGACACAGGUGCUGCAUGGCUGUCGUCAGCUCGUGUCGUGAGAUGGUUGGGUUAACGUCCCGUAACGAGCGCAACCUUGUCCUUAGUUACCAGCACGUUAUGGUGGGCACUCUAAGGAGACUGCCGGUGACAAACGGAGGAAGGUGGGAUGACGUCAAGUCCUCAUGGCCUUUAUGACCAGGGCUACACACGUACUACAAUGGCCGAUACAAAGGGCAGCGACACUGCGAGGUGAAGCCAAUCCCGUAAAAUCGGUCUCAGUCCGGAUUGGAGUCUGCAACUCGACUCCAUGAAGUUGGAAUCGCUAGUAAUCGUGGAUCAGCAUGCCACGGUGAAUACGUUCCCGGGCCUU